GGGGCCGUCGUCUAGCCUGGCUAGGAUGCCGGCCUGGGGGGCGCCGGUGGUCCCGGGUUCAAAUCCCGGCGGCCCCA
rnacentral:tRNA from 1 species